GCAGAGACCAACAGACGAACAGACGAGUGGACAGAGACAAGAGCUGGGAGAAAAGGGAUCAGAGAGAAGCUGGGAGAGGCAGGAACCAGGGGCUAGUGAUUUGCACGCACUCCAGUCCCCAGAGACAUCCCUCUGCAGCCUUGGGUGCUGCAGAGCCCAGCCUGAUGCAGGCAGCCUGGCUGCUUGGGGCCCUGGUGGUCCCUCAGCUCCUGGGCUUCAGCCAUGGGGCUCGAGGAGCAGACAGGGAGUGGGAGGGAGUCUGGGGAGGCGCCCAAGAGGAGGAGCGGGAGAGGGAGGCCCUGAUGCUGAAGCAUUUGCAGGAGGCCCUGGGGCUGCCCGCUGGGAGGGGGGACGAAAACCCUGAGGGAACCCCUGAAGACGAAGAGACCUGGGGGACGCAGGAGGACGGUCAGGGGGAGGAAGAGGAGGAAACAAUGCCAACCUCCUCUUCUGGCCCUAGCCCCUCUCCCACCCCUGAAGAUACCGUCACUUAUAUCCUGGGCCGCCUGGCCGGCUUGGACGCAGGCCUGCACCAGCUGCACGUCCGUCUGCACGCGUUGGACACCCGCGUGGUCGAGUUGAAUCGGGGGCUGCGGCAGCUGCGGGAGGCGGCAAGCGACACCCGCGACGCCGUGCAAGCCCUGCAGGAGGCGCAGAGCCGCGCGGAGCGCGAGCAUGGCCGCUUAGAGGGCUGCCUGAAGGGGCUGCGCCUUGGCCACAAGUGCUUCCUGCUAUCGCGCGACUUCGAGGCGCAGGCGGCGGCGCAGGCGCGUUGCGUGGCACGGGGCGGGAGCCUGGCCCAGCCCGCGGACCGCCAGCAGAUGGAGGCGCUCACUCGCUACUUGCGCGCGGCGCUCGCUCCCUACAACUGGCCGGUGUGGCUGGGCGUGCACGACCGGCGCUCCGAGGGACUAUACCUCUUCGAGAACGGCCAGCGCGUGUCCUUUUUCGCCUGGCACCGCGCGCCCCGUCCGGAGCCCGGAGCCGGUCCCAGCCCCGCGCCGCACCCGCUCAGCCCUAACCAGCCCAACGGCGGCACGCUCGAGAACUGCGUGGCGCAGGCCUCGGAUGACGGCUCCUGGUGGGACCACGACUGCGAACGCCGCCUCUACUACGUCUGCGAGUACCCCUUCUAGCGGGGCCGGUCCUCGCCUCUCCAUCCACCACUCGCCCUUUGGCUGGGCCAUUCAUCCUGUGAGAAGGCCCUUCCCUCCCUCCCUCCUUGCCCACGGAUGGAAGCGUGUUCCCCCGGGCUGGGCGAUCCCAGGGGGCCUUCUGCGGAGCCGAGAGCCCUUACUCGCCUGCCUUUCUUGGGAGCGGCGGGCACCAGGCUAAGUUCCACGCCAAUAAAGCCUUGUGGAAUCUGACUUGAGCGGGCGCUGGAGGCACUUUGGGUCUUUAUCUCGUCGCCGGGCAAGCCUGGAAGGGCAAGACCCUGGCCUUUGGAUGCCUAUCCCGUUCCGCUUUUACAGGGAUCCUGCUCCCCUCACCUCCGAGAAGCCCUCCCAGGCCUGCCAAAGACCAGCGUUUGCCAAUGCCCCCGCCCUAACUCUGCGGAGCACCUGCGGUUUGAGAGCUCGGAGUCGCAGACCAGAUAAGGUCUCCUCAGCUGCCUGGGAUCGAUGCAUGAAGAGAUUCCAGGGCGGUGGUGGAGGAAGGGCCCAACGCCUGAGAUGACCCAGCGGAGGAAGAACCCGGCCGGCACCGGUUUGCCAAGACUACAAGUCCCAGGAGUCCGAGCGGCAGGCCCUCUACCUUCUUCUCAGAACCACGUUUCCCAGAACCAUCGGGAACCUCACGCAAGUCCCCUCGAAGUCCCGCCCCCUCCUCCCACGUGAGGCUCGCUUACAUUUCGCAGAGAGCAUGACAGCAAGGAGAGAGGGGAGGCGGCGCCCCCAAUCUGGCCUGGUUUGAGAUGUUCCCAGCCGUGGGAGACAGACAGACUGUCAUCAAAUGUCGGGAAAUAGCUGUCAUGAGACUCCUCACCCCCUGACACUUGACACCUUUCCCUUCCCGGCGCCUGAAGCCUUCGUUCCGUGGCUGCAAAGUCACUGAGAAGAAAACCAGGGUUCAGAGAGAAGGAAUAUAUCUGAAGUACACAGCAGUCUGUGUUGAUACCAGGCAAAUUAUGGAACCCGCCGUGCCUCAGUUUCCCCAUCUGCACGAUGGGGACGGUGAGA